ACGUCAUCCCCACCUUCCUCCGAGUUGACCCCGGCAGUCUCCCAUGAGUCCCCGGCAUAACCCGCUGGCAACAUAGGAUAAGGGUUGCGCUCGUUGCGGGACUUAACCCAACAUCUCACGACACGAGCUGACGACAACCAUGCACCACCUGUGUACGAGUGUCCAAAGAGUUCGUUAUCUCUAACGCGUUCUCGUACAUGUCAAGCCUUGGUAAGGUUCUUCGCGUUGCAUCGAAUUAAUCCGCAUGCUCCGCCGCUUGUGCGGGCCCCCGUCAAUUCCUUUGAGUUUUAGCCUUGCGGCCGUACUCCCCAGGCGGGGCACUUAAUGCGUUAGCUGCGGCACAGAACGAGUGGAACCCGCCCCACACCUAGUGCCCAACGUUUACGGCAUGGACUACCAG
rnacentral:misc_RNA from 1 species